UACGAGGGGGGCAAAUGUUGUUCGGAUUUACUGGGCGUAAAGGGCGCGUAGGCGGUCGUGACAAGUCACUUGUGAAAUCUCCGGGCUUAACUCGGAACGGUCAAGUGAUACUGUCGGACUAGAGUACAGAAGGGGCAACUGGAAUUCUCGGUGUAGCGGUGAAAUGCGUAGAUAUCGAGAGGAACACCUGCGGCGAAGGCGGGUUGCUGGGCUGAUACUGACGCUGAGGCGCGAAAGCCAGGGGAGCGAACGGG
rnacentral:rRNA from 1 species